GCCCUCUUAGCUCAGACGGCAGAGCAACGCCAUGGUAAGGCGUAGGUCGUCGGUUCGAUUCCGACAGAGGGCU
rnacentral:tRNA from 1 species